AUGAACGCUGGCGGCGUGCUUCACACAUGCCAGUCGCACGGUGAAGGCGGAGCUUGCUCUGCUGGAUCAGUGGCGAACGGGUGAGUAACACGUGAGCAAUCUGCCCCUGACUCUGGGAUAAGCGCUGGAAACGGCGUCUAAUACUGGAUACGAGCUGCGAAGGCAUCUUCAGCAGCUGGAAAGAAUUUCGGUCAGGGAUGAGCUCGCGGCCUAUCAGCUUGUUGGUGAGGUAAUGGCUCACCAAGGCGUCGACGGGUAGCCGGCCUGAGAGGGUGACCGGCCACACUGGGACUGAGACACGGCCCAGACUCCUACGGGAGGCAGCAGUGGGGAAUAUUGCACAAUGGGCGAAAGCCUGAUGCAGCAACGCCGCGUGAGGGACGACGGCCCUCGGGUUGUAAACCUCUUUUAGCAGGGAAGAAGCGAAAGUGACGGUACCUGCAGAAAAAGCGCCGGCUAACUACGUG
rnacentral:rRNA from 1 species